CACGUAGGGGGCAAGCGUUGUCCGGAUUUAUUGGGCGUAAAGAGCUCGUAGGCGGUUCGGUAAGUUGGGUGUGAAACCUCCAGGCUCAACCUGGAGACGCCACCCGAUACUGCUGUGACUAGAGUCCGGUAGGGGGAGCGUGGAAUUCCUGGUGUAGCGGUGAAAUGCGCAGAUAUCAGGAGGAACACCAGCGGCGAAGGCGGCGCUCUGGGCCGGAACUGACGCUGAGGAGCGAAAGCGUGGGUAGCAACAGG
rnacentral:rRNA from 1 species